rnacentral:ncRNA from 1 species
AUUUAAUUAUUAAUAAACUUGAUUCUAGUUUUUAUAGAUAUUUUAUUGAUGGUUAUAAUAUGUAAGUUUUUGCGUGAUUUGGAUUCUAUUUUAAAAAUAGGAUUUUGUUAUUUAAUCGCAGUUUUUAAUGUUAUAUAUUAAAUUAUUUUAGAUAUAGUCAAUCAAUUUUAUAACUAGCAAAAAUUGUGCCAGCAGCUGCGGUUAUACAAUUAGUUAAAGUUAUCUUUUUUGGGAUUUUAUUUUAUUUAUUAGUUGGCUAUAAAUUUAUGUUUUUUAAGUGAAAUUUAAUAUUUAAUUAAUGGUUUGGUUAUUUUAUAUUAUAAGAAAUUUUUAAUAUUAAACUAGGAUUAGAUACCCUAUUAUUUUAAACUUAAAUUUUUAUCCUCAGUAUUAUAAGUUAUGAUCUUUAAAUUGAAAGAAUUUGACGGUAAUUUUAAUCAUUUUAGAGGAACCUGUUCUGUAAUCGAUAAUCCACGAUAAAUUUUACUUUGAUUAUAUUGUUUGUAUAUCUCUGUCUGAUUGAAUGUUUUAUUAGAAUAUUUUCUUAAAUUUUUAUUGAAUUUUAUGUCAGGUCAAGGUGCAACUAUAUUAAAGUUUGAAAUGGGUUACAUUUAAUUUUAAAUUAUUGGUUUAGUUUAUUUAUUUAAGCUAUUAAAUUGGAUUUAAUUGUAAUAGGUAAUAUAUAUUAUUUAUGAUAUAUGUUCUCGAUUAACGUACAUAUCGCCCGUCACUCUCAUUAUAAGAUGAGAUAAGUCGUAACAAAGUAGUCCUAUCGGAAGAUGGGGCUGGAAUUAUA